rnacentral:rRNA from 1 species
GAUGAACGCUGGCGGCGUGCCUAAUACAUGCAAGUCGAGCGAACAGACGAGGAGCUUGCUCCUCUGACGUUAGCGGCGGACGGGUGAGUAACACGUGGAUAACCUACCUAUAAGACUGGGAUAACUUCGGGAAACCGGAGCUAAUACCGGAUAAUAUAUUGAACCGCAGGGUUCAAUAGUGAAAGACGGUUUUGCUGUCACUGAUAGAUGGAUCCGCGCCGCAUUAGCUAGUUGGUAAGGUAACGGCUUACCAAGGCGACGAUGCGUAGCCGACCGGAGAGGGUGAGCGGCCACACUGGAACUGAGACACGGUCCAGACUCCUACGGGAGGCAGCAGUAGGGAAUCUUCCGCAAUGGGCGAAAGCCUGACGGAGCAACGGCGCGUGAGUGAUGAAGGUCUUCGGAUCGUAAAACUCUGUUAUUAGGGAAGAACAAAUGUGUAAGUAACUAUGCACGUCUUGACGGUACCGAAUCAGAAAGCCACGGCUAACUACGUG